UAUGUUUUGCUGCUCCUGCUCCUGCUCCUGCAGUUCAUCCUGAAAAUUGGAAUCCUAUAUGGUCUGUUUCAAGCAUACUCACAGGGCUUCUUUCAUUUAUGAUGGACAACAGCCCAACCACUGGCAGUGUAAACACCACCUCUGCCGAGAAGCAGCGUUUAGCAAAAUCUUCCCUUUCUUUCAAUUGCAAGAAGUAGGUCUAUUGCAUCAUCUUUUCCCAAGUCACCAUAGAAUUUAGUAAGGUCUCUACAAUUUGUCUCCCAUUUUCUUUAAUUGUUGCAUUUGAAUUCCUUUUA